rnacentral:rRNA from 1 species
GAACGCUGGCGGCGGGCCUAACACAUGCAAGUCGAGCGCUCUCUUCGGAGGGAGCGGCGGACGGGUGAGUAACGCGUGGGAACGUGCCCUUCUCUAUGGAAUAGCCACUGGAAACGGUGAGUAAUACCAUAUACGCCCUUCGGGGGAAAGAUUUAUCGGAGAAGGAUCGGCCCGCGUUAGAUUAGGUAGUUGGUGGGGUAAUGGCCUACCAAGCCUACGAUCUAUAGCUGGUUUUAGAGGAUGAUCAGCCACACUGGGACUGAGACACGGCCCAGACUCCUACGGGAGGCAGCAGUGGGGAAUCUUAGACAAUGGGCGCAAGCCUGAUCUAGCCAUGCCGCGUGAGUGAUGAAGGCCUUAGGGUCGUAAAGCUCUUUCGCCAGAGAUGAUAAUGACAGUAUCUGGUAAAGAAACCCCGGCUAACUCCGUGCCAGCAGCCGCGGUAAUACGGAGGGGGUUAGCGUUGUUCGGAAUUACUGGGCGUAAAGCGCACGUAGGCGGAUUAGAAAGUUGGGGGUGAAAUCCCGGG